rnacentral:misc_RNA from 1 species
UCAAAACAGCGGACUUCGGUCCUUGCUGCACCCUUGUCUUUUGCGCACCGUAUUGUUUCCUCGGCGGGCUUGCCUGCCGGUUGGACAUUAUCAAAACCUUUUUGUAGUUGCAAUCAGCGUCAGAAAAACAAUAAGUAUUA